rnacentral:tRNA from 1 species
UCCGCUGUGACCGGAGAUGGUAACGGCCCUGACUGUUAAUCAGAGAGACCCGUGAGGGUUACGCUGGUUCGAGCCCAGCCAGCGGAGCAA